rnacentral:tRNA from 1 species
CAGUAGCUGAGCGGAUAAAGCGAUGGUGUUUGAAGCGAAUGGUACUGGGUUCGAGUCACAGAGUGAA